rnacentral:rRNA from 1 species
UACGUAGGGUGCAAGCGUUGUCCGGAAUUAUUGGGCGUAAAGAGCUCGUAGGCGGUCUGUCACGUCGGCUGUGAAAACCCGAGGCUCAACCUCGGGCCUGCAGUCGAUACGGGCAAACUAGAGUACUGCAGGGGAGACUGGAAUUCCUGGUGUAGCGGUGAAAUGCGCAGAUAUCAGGAGGAACACCGAUGGCGAAGGCAGUGUUCUGGGCCAGUACUGACGCUGAGGAGCGAAAGCGUGGGUAGCAAACAGG